rnacentral:rRNA from 1 species
GACGAACGCUGGCGGCGUGCUUAACACAUGCAAGUCGAACGAAGUGGCGAACGGGGGAGUAACGCGUAAUCAACCUGCCCUUCAGAGGGGGACAACAGUUGGAAACGACUGCUAAUACCGCAUACGGCAGGAGGUGAUUGCGUCGGAUUAGCUAGUUGGAGGGGUAACGGCCCCCCAAGGCGAUGAACAGUAGCCGGUCUGAGAGGAUGGACGGCCACAUUGGGACGGAGACACGGCCCAGACUCCUACGGGAGGCAGCAGUGGGGAAUCUUCCGCAAUGGACGAAAGGCUGACGGAGCAACGCCGCGUGAGUGAUGACGGCCUUCGGGUUGUAAAGCUCUGUUAAUCGGGACGCGGUACCGGAAUAGAAAGCCACGGCUAACUACGUGCCAGCAGCCGCGGUAAUAC